GUUUCAGGGUGUCUACCAUCCCGCAGAACUAUGGGGUUGCCCGCCCCCUCACUGCCCCUCAGUCAGUGUGUCUGGUGCUUAUCCAUGUGGGCUAUGCAGUUGGCCCCCUGAAUGUCCCAGCUCCCUUAGAAUUCUAAAGGGAAGGGACAGCAGGUCCCUGCCACCUCUCUGGUGCCUCUACUUGGGUUCUCACCACAGUCCCAGUUUGGAGGUUCCCACGCUGUGGCCUCCUCUCUGUCUGACCUCCCUAGCCCAGACCCCCCAGCUUCCUCCUCAGCUCCCACUCAGCUUUCUUGUAGUCUCUGGAGCCCCUGUCUGCCUUGCCUCUGCAGAGCUCUGGCCAAAUUGGAACCACUGGGAAAGAAUGAGGUCAUGGGAGGGGCGGCUGGUCGUGCGUGCAGGCCAGAGGGUCUGUUUUUAGAACCUGUACCUCUUGGCUGAAGCUAGAGAAAAAAAAAAAAA
rnacentral:lncRNA from 1 species